rnacentral:rRNA from 1 species
GACGAACGCUGGCGGCGUGCCUAAUACAUGCAAGUCGAACGAGAGCAACCGGUGCUUGCACUGGUCAAUCUAGUGGCGAACGGGUGAGUAACACGUGGGUAACCUGCCCAUCAGAGGGGGAUAACAUCCGGAAACGGAUGCUAAAACCGCAUAGGUCUUCGAACCGCAUGGUUUGAAGAGGAAAAGAGGCGCAAGCUUCUGCUGAUGGAUGGACCCGCGGUGCAUUAGCUAGUUGGUGAGGUAACGGCUCACCAAGGCCGUGAUGCAUAGCCGACCUGAGAGGGUGAUUGGCCACAUUGUGACUGAGACACGGCCCAAACUCCUACGGGAGGCAGCAGUAGGGAAUCUUCCGCAAUGGACGCAAGUCUGACGGAGCAACGCCGCGUGAGUGAAGAAGGUUUUCGGAUCGUAAAACUCUGUUGUUAGAGAAGAACAAGUGCUAGAGUAACUGUUAGCGCCUUGACGGUAUCUAACCAGAAAGCCACGGCUAACUACGUG